rnacentral:rRNA from 1 species
UUCCAGACUCCUACGGGAGGCAGCAGUGGGGAAUAUUGCACAAUGGGGGGAACCCUGAUGCAGCGACGCCGCGUGAAGGAAGAAGUAUUUCGGUAUGUAAACUUCUAUCAGCAGGGAAGAAAAUGACGGUACCUGACUAAGAAGCCCCGGCUAACUACGUGCCAGCAGCCGCGGUAAUACGUAGGGGGCAAGCGUUAUCCGGAUUUACUGGGUGUAAAGGGAGCGUAGGCGGCAGUGCAAGUCAGAAGUGAAAGCCCAAGGCUCAACCAUGGGACUGCUUUUGAAACUGUACAGCUAGAUUGCAGGAGAGGUAAGUGGAAUUCCUAGUGUAGCGGUGAAAUGCGUAGAUAUUAGGAGGAACACCAGUGGCGAAGGCGGCUUACUGGACUGUAAAUGACGCUGAGGCUCGAAAGCGUGGGGAGCAAACAGGAUUAGAUACCCUUGUAC